rnacentral:rRNA from 1 species
UGCCUUAGUAACUGCGAGUGAAGCGGCAAAAGCUCAAAUUUGAAAUCUGGGGCCUUACAGCCUCCGAAUUGUAAUUUCGCGAUACGUUUUCGACUGAAGGCUCUGCUUUAAGUUCCUUGGAACAGGACGUCACAGAGGGUGAGAAUCCCGUGAUAGGUGGAGCCUGAUGCAUAUGAUACGUAUUCAACGAGUCGAGUUGUUUGGGAAUGCAGCUCAAAAUGGGUGGUAAAUUUCAUCUAAAGCUAAAUAUUGGCGAGAGACCGAUAGCGCACAAGUAGAGUGAUCGAAAGAUGAAAAGCACUUUGAAAAGAGAGUUAAAAAGUACGUGAAAUUGUUGAAAGGGAAGCGCUUGAGACCAGACUCAAUCUGUGGUGAUCAACUUGGCUUCUGUCAGGUGCACUUGCCACUUAUUGGGACAGCAUCGGUUUUGGCGGUGGGAUAAAGUCUUGAGGAAUGUAGCUACCUUCGGGUAGUGUUAUAGCCUCUUGAGUAAUGCCACCAGCCGGGACCGAGGACCGCGCUUCGGCUAGGAUGCUGUCAUAAUGGUCUUCAGCGACCCGUCUUGAAACACGGACCAAGGAGUCUAACAUCUAUGCGAGUGUUCGGGUGGAAAACCCUUGCGCGUAAUGAAAGUGAACGGAGGUGGGAACCUUAGGGUGCACCAUCGACCGAUCCUGAUGUCUUCGGAAGGAUUUGAGUAUGAGCAUAGCUGUUGGGACCCGAAAGAUGGUGAACUAUGCCUGAAUAGGGUGAAGCCAGAGGAAACUCUGGUGGAGGCUCGCAGCGGUUCUGACGUGCAAAUCGAUCGUCAAAUUUGGGUAUAGGGGCGAAAGACUAAUC